rnacentral:lncRNA from 1 species
CUUCAUCCCUUUUCAGAUGGGAGCCAACAGCUCAGUGCUCACUGAUUUAAAGUUAGACACAUCUCGGGGGAAAAGCAACAGCCUUGUGGGAAUACGGAGGAGGAAGCUGGCCCAAAGAGCCCAGUAACUGCACCGUACUCAGCACAAUGCCCGGCACACCAUUCUAACAGCAGCAGCUAAAACUCAGAACAUCCUACCAGAUGCGUGUUGUACACCAGAUACUGUUGUCAGCACUGUGGACAAAACAGAUGAGCAGUCCUGUCCUGAUGGAGCUGCUGCUUUAGCAAUGGGAAAGAAAAAUCAAAGAAAAACGACAUGAGCGAAACACGUAGCAUGUCAGAUGGCUGUAGGUGCUGUGAAGACAAAUAAGGUUGCUUAUGUGAGAGUGUAUUUACGAGCCCUGUGGAGUGAGACAGUCUGAGGGAAGAGGAAGAUUUAGAAGGGGACACAUGGUCUGUGUUGAGCCCAGAGUGAGGAUAGGUGCCUUGGAGAAGGGAGGCUUCUCUCUGUUUACUACUGACUUGUCCAGAAGUGAAGGAGUAGAAUGAAAAUCCAGGGAUGGAACUCAGGACCUUGCGCUUACAAGGCAGGCGUGGUGCCACUGAGCCAAAUCCCUGGCCCCACACUAGUGUCUUUUUACAAGCUUGCUUUUCUGUUGGAUGGCAGUUGACAACAGCAUUUCCUGUAUUUUUGAUCACAUCUCCCACAGACCCUCACGAAAGAGGACUUCCAGAACUGCUUCUGAAAGAGGUGAGAAUGAUCAAAUAAGUGUGUUCAGAGCAAGAGGGAAUAUUUUGUGGGGGAUUAGUGGCAAUGUGUCUUCUACUGUGAUAAUUAUUUUAAAAUGUAAACAUUCAUGGUAUUUUUCAACCACCCCUGUAUAUAGUGCCUCUGAGAGAAUUCAAAUUAGAAGAUGGUACCCACUCCUCCAGACUCUUUGCUGUCACCUUCCAUCCUCAGACAUGAAUGGUGCCCUGAGGUGAUGUGGGACACACAUUAUCCUUUGCAUAAAUGAGAGCUGCUACUAUCAUAAUCAUUAUCAUCACCUUGAUGGCAAGUGGCCCCAUCGUGACCUUUGGUGGGUUGGGUGGACCAGUAUGAGCCUGAUUAAUUCAGAUUUCAUUAUAGGAGAGCAAUCAGAGCUGAGCAGCUAAUAUGUUGUUGUGGCAAGCGGUGCAGGUGUGCUGGGAGCCACGUCUUCUUAUUAGAGCCUCUUUGUCACCUGGUGUCAGAAGCUGAAGGUCAUCAAAAUGUGGGCCACCUCUAAAUCACUGUGCCGCCAACAUAACUCCUACCACCGAGCAGACUGUCUUCAGCCACUGGAGCCCAAAAUAGAACCUAAUGGAUUUAGGAAGCAAUCAAUGCUGUCAGUGCUUCUGAAGACAUUUGUGGGUUGUAGCCUAUAAAAUAUUAAUUCUUUCUAUUUGUCUUUAAGAAUAUAUUUUAUGUGUUAAUGCAUUAUUGAAAGAUGCUUUAAUGUUAAGUGACUUUUUAAGACCCAAGAUUCAAACAGCUAAGUUUAUUUUUCUUUAGGAUAUUAAUGUAAAAUAUAAAGACAAAAGCAGAUCCCACUGACCGUACCAGUAGCCAUGCAUUGACAAGCAGGAAAUCAAACUGUAAAAUUCAAGUUGUUUUAUUCAUGUUUUGAUGGGCAAAUAAAUAACUUAUGUAUAGCAUUUCCCAUCUAAUGAAAUGUUUUACUGUUGGAUUUAUUGGGCACAUUUAUGAAAUCACAACUGUGCAGCUCUGCUUUAUUUGGCCUUAAUGACAUGAAGGCCAGGGAGGACUGUGGAUCUUCAGUGUCCAGAGUGAAGUGUGGACGGAGGAGGUAUCGCAAAUCAAAGGGUAAUCGGGAAGACACACAGAAAAUCGUUGAAGACUGACUCAGAAUUCAUCUUCUACUCAAGGACCACUGUGUAUACAUUUGUCUCCUUCCAUGCAUGAACACUGUAUACUGGUACAAAAGUACACAGUAUAUUUCUUGUUUUAUUUCACAGAAAAUGAAGUUCUACAAGGCAUGAUUUACUGCACUUUUAGGGGCCACAAACCACUUAAAUUUCCUGUGACUGUGGUGCCACACUGAAGAAGCAUGUCCACAUGCACACGAAGUUCUUCCUGUGGUUUCUGAGGGUCCUUUCCUCCCUGUGUGAGACAGCUGGGCUCCGGUCUAGUCCGGUGGUCUUGCUUUUCAUCCAAGAUUCUGAGGUUUAAAGGAGUGAUGACCCUGCCAGUGUCACUCAGUUCCUGAUACCUCAUCCCAAUACCCCCUCUCUACACAGUAAGCAGGUGCCAGCAAGGUGGCCAGCAGUGUGGGCUCCUGAGCUCAAAUCCAGAUUUGCUACUCACUGGCCUUGAGCAACUUACUUAGCUUUGUGUGCCAAAAUGUCUUUGUGUAUUUCCUUCACUGUCUGCUUCUUUUUCCCCC